AGAGCGAACGUUAGCGGCGGGCUUAACACAUGCAAGUCGAGCGAGAAAGGGCUUCGGCCCUGAGUACAGCGGCGGACGGGUGAAUAACACGUAGGUAACCUUCCUUCCAGCGGGGACAACGGUCCGAAAGGACCGCUAAUACCGCAUACGUUCCCUGGGACCCUGGUCCCGGGGAGGAAAGCUCCGCAAGGGGCACUGGAUGAGGGGCCUGCGUAGCAUCAGCUAGUUGGUGGGGUAAUGGCCUACCAAGGCUAAGACGCUUAGCUGGUCUGAGAGGAUGAUCAGCCACACUGGGACUGAGACACGGCCCAGACUCCUACGGGAGGCAGCAGUGGGGAAUAUUGGACAAUGGGCGCAAGCCUGAUCCAGCCACGCCGCGUGAGUGAUGAAGGCCUUCGGGUCGUAAAGCUCUGUGGGGAGGGACGAAUGGCGCCGUGAAGAGCGGCGAGUGACGGUACCUCCUUAGCAAGCACCGGCUAACUUCGUG
rnacentral:rRNA from 1 species